rnacentral:rRNA from 1 species
GGGUGGUAAUGCCGGAUGUUCCACAUGAUCGCAUGUGAUUGUGGGAAAGAUUUCAUCGGCGUGGGAUGGGGUCGCGUCCUAUCAGCUUGUUGGUGAGGUAACGGCUCACCAAGGCUUCGACGGGUAGCCGGCCUGAGAGGGCGACCGGCCACAUUGGGACUGAGAUACGGCCCAGACUCCUACGGGAGGCAGCAGUGGGGAAUAUUGCACAAUGGGCGCAAGCCUGAUGCAGCGACGCCGCGUGAGGGAUGGAGGCCUUCGGGUUGUAAACCUCUUUUGUUUGGGAGCAAGCCUUCGGGUGAGUGUACCUUUCGAAUAAGCGCCGGCUAACUACGUGCCAGCAGCCGCGGUAAUACGUAGGGCGCAAGCGUUAUCCGGAUUUAUUGGGCGUAAAGGGCUCGUAGGCGGCUCGUCGCGUCCGGUGUGAAAGUCCAUCGCUUAACGGUGGAUCUGCGCCGGGUACGGGCGGGCUGGAGUGCGGUAGGGGAGACUGGAAUUCCCGGUGUAACGGUGGAAUGUGUAGAUA